rnacentral:rRNA from 1 species
GGUUAAGUCCCGCAACGAGCGCAACCCUUAUCCUUUGUUGCCAGCGAUUAGGUCGGGAACUCAAAGGAGACUGCCAGUGAUAAACUGGAGGAAGGUGGGGAUGACGUCAAGUCAUCAUGGCCCUUACGACCAGGGCUACACACGUGCUACAAUGGCGCAUACAAAGAGAAGCGACCUCGCGAGAGCAAGCGGACCUCAUAAAGUGCGUCGUAGUCCGGAUUGGAGUCUGCAACUCGACUCCAUGAAGUCGGAAUCGCUAGUAAUCGUGGAUCAGAAUGCCACGGUGAAUACGUUCCCGGGCCUUGUACACACCGCCCGUCACACCAUGGGAGUGGGUUGCAAAAGAAGUAGGUAGCUUAACCUUCGGGAGGGCGCUUACCACUUUGUGAUUCAUGACUGGGGUGAAGUCGUAACAAGGUAACCGUAGGGGAACCUGC